GACGAACGCUGGCGGCGUGCCUAAUACAUGCAAGUAGAACGCUGAAGGAGGAGCUUGCUUCUCUUGAUGAGUUGCGAACGGGUGAGUAACGCGUAGGUAACCUGCCUGGUAGCGGGGAUGACUAUUGGAAACGAUAGCUAAUACCGCAUAAGAGUAGAUGUUGCAUGACAUUUCCUUAAAACUUGCAAUUGCAUCACUACCAGAUGGACCUGCGUUGUAUUAGCUAGUUGGUGGGUUAACGGCCCACCAAGGCGACGAUCCAUAGCCGACCUGAGAGGGUGAUCCGGCCAACCGGGAAUUGAACCACGCCCCAGCCCCUUCAGGGAGGCGGAGGAGGGGAAUAUUGGAAAAGGGCGGCAGGCCUGACGAGGAAAGCCCGGGGGGUGGAAGAAGUUCUUGGGUUGGAAAGCUCUGUUUUAAGAGAAAAAAGAGUGUGAGAGUGGAAAGUUCACGUUGUGACGGUACCUAACCAGAAAGCAACGGCUAACUACGUG
rnacentral:rRNA from 1 species